UGUUUAAUUCGAAGAUACGCGAAAAACCUUACCUAGACUUGACAUGCCAAUGAUCGGCUUAGAAAUAAGCUUUUCCCUUCGGGGACAUUGGACACAGGUGGUGCAUGGUUGUCGUCAGCUCGUGUCGUGAGAUGUUUGGUUAAGUCCAAUAACGAGCGCAACCCUUUUCCUUAAUUGCUAACAUUUAGUUGAGAACCUUAAGGAUACUGCCGGUAAUAAACCGGAGGAAGGUGGGGAUGACGUCAAAUCAUCAUGCCCCUUACGUCUAGGGCAACAGGCGUGCUACAAUGGCCGGUAUAAUAUGAUGCAAUAUCGUGAGAUGGAGCAAAUCACAAAAGCCGGUCUCAGUUCGGAUUGGAGUCUGCAACUCGACUCCAUGAAGUUGGAAUCGCUAGUAAUCCCGAAUCAGAAUGUCGGGGUGAAUACGUUCCCGGGUGUUGUACACACCGCCCGUCACGCCAUGGGAGUUUGUAAUACAUGAAGCUGGUAGCCUAACCUUUUAGGAGGGGGCCAUCGAAUGUAGGACAGAUGACUGGGGUGAAGUCGUAACAAGGUA
rnacentral:rRNA from 1 species